UACGGGGGGGGCAAGCGUUGUUCGGAAUUACUGGGCGUAAAGGGCUCGUAGGCGGCCAACUAAGUCGGACGUGAAAUCCCCAGGCUCAACCUGGGAACUGCGUCCGAUACUGGAUGGCUUGAAUCCGGGAGAGGGAUGCAGAAUUCCAGGUGUAGCGGUGAAAUGCGUAGAUAUCUGGAGGAAUACCGGUGGUGAAGGCGGCAUCCUGGACCGGCAUUGACGCUGAGGAGCGAAAGCAUGGGGAGCGAACAGG
rnacentral:rRNA from 1 species